GGCUGAUCAAGACAUGAUCCACGAAUUAGAAAAUGACGCCAGACUUGUGGAACAGUCCCAAGCCGAAGUUGAAGAUGAGGAAGAUAUGAGCCACAAAUUCAGAAAAGAAGACAGGCCUGUGGAACAGUGCCAAGCCGAAGUUGAAGCUGAUGAAGAUGUAGUCUACAAAGAUGGAAAUAGUCUGAGAAGUUGGAUUCACAGAACGAUAUGUUGGCUAAUGAAGACAUGAGCCAUAUAUUCAGAAAAGACGUCAGACCUGUGGAACAGUGCCA